rnacentral:rRNA from 1 species
GACGAACGCUGGCGGCGUGCCUAAUACAUGCAAGUAGGACGCAGUUGCGAACGGUUGAGUAACGCGUAGGUAACUGCCUAUCAGAGGGGGAUAACUUUUGGAAACGAUAGCUAAUACCGCAUACUAGUAGAUGGUCCUGCGUUGUAUUAGCUAGUAGGUAGGGUAAUGGCCUAUCUAGGCGACGAUACAUAGCCUACCUGAGAGGGAGAUGGGCCACACUGGGACGGAGACACGGCCCAGAAUCCUACGGGAGGCAGCAGUAGGGAAUCUUCGGCAAUGGGGGGAACCCUGACCGAGCAACGCCGCGGGAGUGAAGAAGGUUUUCGGAUCGUAAAGCUCUGUUGUUAAGGAAGCGGUACUUAACCAGAAAGGGACGGCUAACUACGUGCCAGCAGCCGCGGUAAUAC